CCUACGGGUGGCUGCAGUCGAGAAUCAUUCACAAUGGGGGAAACCCUGAUGGUGCGACGCCGCGUGGGGGAAUGAAGGUCUUCGGAUUGUAAACCCCUGUCAUGUGGGAGCAAAUUAAAAAGAUAGUACCACAAGAGGAAGAGACGGCUAACUCUGUGCCAGCAGCCGCGGUAAUACAGAGGUCUCAAGCGUUGUUCGGAAUCACUGGGCGUAAAGCGUGCGUAGGCUGUUUCGUAAGUCGUGUGUGAAAGGCGCGGGCUCAACCCGCGGACGGCACAUGAUACUGCGAGACUAGAGUAAGGGAGGGGGAACCGGAAUUCUCGGUGUAGCAGUGAAAUGCGUAGAUAGCGAGAGGAACACUCGUGGCGAAGGCGGGUUCCUGGACAUUAACUGACGCUGAGGCACGAAGGCCAGGGGAGCGAAAGGGAUUAGAUACCCUGGUAGUC
rnacentral:rRNA from 1 species